AAGCAUCAACGGAACACUAAGCAGCUUCCCCCUUUCUCACUUUCCCACUCUCUUUGUAUUUUGAAGUUUUCCUAUUUUUUCCUUUUUCCCUUUUACAGAAGUGAUCAAGGCGCUUCUAGCGAAAUUUGAAAAAUCAGAGGCCAACAAGACAGGGAAUUUUAA
rnacentral:ribozyme from 1 species